UUUUACUGAAGAAAAACUUUCUGCUUUUUCUAAUGAACUUGGCUCAGUUGAAAAUUUGUUUCGCAAACAUUCUGGCUCCAGGAAUGGAUCGAGUAGUACAGAGUCGCUUCGUGACACAUUUGAUACAUCCAAGUUGAUCAACCGUCAUGGUGUUGAUGCAGAAUUGCACACACGCGCUGUAGUCAAACCCUUUCCCGAACCUCAA
rnacentral:ribozyme from 1 species